rnacentral:lncRNA from 1 species
AAAGAUUACUAAAAUGAAGGAGAAUGGAUACAAAAGAGAAUCCUGAUGCCUCUUUUCCACCAAAAAUAUGUAAUUUUGCCUUCGGCAGCUCUCAGCAAACUGGCAGAGUUCCUACUGGACAAUGAACCAACAAAUGGUCUGGAACACUUAGUAAAGAAAGAUUUCAGAUUAUAUGGUAAAGUCAACUGCUCCAAAGAAACACAAUAUCUUACGGAUGGCAACAGAAUAAAAAGAACCUUGAGUCCCUGCUAUCAUGAAAUGACCAAAACGGACCUUAACC